GUGCCUCCUCCUUUUUUUCUUCACUCUCUCUCCUCACUCUUUCCUUUCUUUAUUUUUUCAUUUAUUUAUUUAUUGUCUUUCUUUUAAUUUUACUCGUGUUGUAUUCCUACCCACUAUGUAGGCUACUUGUCAGCCUUUUCCUUUUUCUGUAUCUCGGCUAACAGCACAGAGAGAGAGAGAGAGAGAGAGAGAGAGAGAGAGAGAGACUGGAACCCUAUACAAUAAUAUUAUCAUAUUAUAUGCGUAAUUAAUACAGAUUCCAGCCUCGACUCCAGUGGGUGCAUCUCAAACCUUGUGCCUACUGUGUCCUGGAUGAUGGCGUUCACUCCAGCCCUCAUGAUCCUCUCCUCCUUCCUCUCCUUUAUUCUGAUUCAUCACUUCUGUCAGAAAGCAGACAAAGAAUGUCAAAUUCUCCAGAAAAGACCUGACACCUGGGCACAAACAAGUUGGAAUAAGGAUGAAGAUGUGUAUUCAACACGAGUUGUGUUUCGGGCUAAGGAAGAAUAAACACAACAACAGAGAAUGGAGCGCACAGGCACACAGAAUGAAAUGAGUUGAAAUUCAAAUUGUUCAAAUUCAGGACCAGUUGUCCUUUCCUCUUGUUUUUCAGGCCAGUUGUUGUAUGUAGGUAACGUCCUGUGGUUUAAGACACUGCUGCAAGGUGAGCGAGCGCCUGAUUUGUGGGGCCUG